GUCGUUUUUGACAUUUUCAGGGGUUGUACUUUAACGAACUCCUCCUAGAGAUUUAUUCAGAUCAACACCAAACUUUGUCAGUGUAAUCUAAAGGCCUUUGCGAUGUUAAAUUGCGAAGAUCUUGAGGUUUCGUUUAAGGGCGUGUCUGUGGCGGCCUUACAAAUUUCGAUGUUUCGCCAUGAGAAAGGAAGUUGCUAUAACUCAGACAUACAAUGUCCAAUCUGCCCCAAACUUCACAUGUUUGAGAAGACUCCUGACCUGAAUAUAUCUACAUGCUAAUAUUCAGAUAUCGCUAUAGCGCCACCUGCUGGCAACAGGAAGUGACAUGUUUUACGCCGUAACAAACUACUCCUAGAAAUUUUAUGACAUUUUAUAAUUUUUUUUGGUCAGUCUAAUCUAAAGGCCUUUGCGAUGUUAAACUGUUAACAUCUUGGAUUUCCAUUAAAGGGUGUGGCCAUGGCGCCGUGACAAAGUUUGAUGUCUCGCCAUGGGAAUAGAAGUUGUUGUAACUCAGGCAUAAGAUGUCCGAUCUUCCCCAAACUUCACAUGUUCGAAAAGAGUCUUGGCCUGAACACAUCUGAAGGUCAAUAUUCCACUAUAAUCAUAGCGCCACCUGCUGACAACAGAAAAUGGCUUGUUUUACACUAACUUAAACAUGCAAUGUCCAAUCUGCACCAAACUUCAAAUAUUGAUAAGAGUCAUGGACUGAAGAUAUCUAAAGGCCAAUGUUCAGUUAUAAUCAUAGCGCCACCUGUUGGCAAUAGGACACAACAUGCUUUAUACUAACUCAAACAUUCCAUGUUCAAUCUGCACUAAAUUUCAUAUGCUUGAUAAAAGUGCUGGACUGAAGAAAUCUACAUGCUAAAAUCGAGUUAUAGUCAUAGCACCACCAGCUGGCAGCAGGAAGAUUGGCACAUAUAAAUGACUUUGACAUAUUUCUCUUAUAUUUACCACAUUAAACGCAUAUUUCUUGCCGUUCGCUGUUUUACUAAAGUCACCCGCUGGCGGUGAGCCCGGGUGCGAGGGCCCGUUCAUCGCUGCUUGCAGCUUUAAUUAUUAUUAUUAUUAUUAUUAUUAUUAUUAUUAUUAUU
ensembl:lncRNA